rnacentral:rRNA from 1 species
GGGGAAACCCAGAUUAAUACCGCAUAUUAUCCCGACCUCUCAUGGGGUUGGGAUGAAAGCUGAGGCGCUGAGGGAUGGGCAUGCGUGACAUUACCUAGUUGGUGAGGUAAGGGCUCACCCAGGCGACAAUAUCUACGCUGGUCUGAGAGGAUGAUCAGCCCCACCGCCACUGAGACACGGGCCCGACUCCUACUGGAGGCAGCAGUAAGGAAUAUUGGUCAAUGGGGGCAACCCUGAACCAGCCUUGCCGCGUGAAGGAUGAAUGUCCUCUGGAUUGUACACUUCUUUUCUCAGGGGUUAAUUGUGAGCUAUAAUCUCGCUUGCCGGUACCUGAGGAAUAAACGCCGGCUAACUACUUGCCAGCUGCCGCGGUAAUACCUACGGUGCGAGCGUUGUCCGGAUUUAUUGGGUUUAAAGGGUGCGCACUGCGGUCUAUUAAGUUAGUGGUGAAAUCGUCCGGCUUAACCGGAUACCCGCCAUUGAUACUGGUACGCUUGAGUGCGACAGAGAGUACUAGACUGCGUGGUGUAGCGAUGAAAUGCAUAGAUAUCACGCAGUAUACCAAUUGAGAAGGCAGGUACCUAUGUCGUAACUGUCGCUCAGGCACGAUAGCGUGGGGAGCGAACUGGAUUAGAUACCUUGGUAGUCCACGCAGUAAACGAUGAUCACUAGGUGUUGGGGAGUUUAUCGUGAGUGCCCCAGUGAAAGCGAUAAGAUGAUCCCCCUGGGGAGUAGGUUCGCAAGAAUGAAAUUCAAAGGAAUGGACGGGGGCCCGCACAAGCGGUGGAGCAUGUGGUUUAAUUGGAUGAUACGGGAGGACCCUUACAUGGGUUACAAUGUCUGUACCAGCCGCGGAAAGGUGGUUUUCCUUCGGGACAGAGUGCAAGGUGGUGCAUGGUUGUUGUCAGCUCGUGCUGUGAGGUGUUGGGUUAAGUUCCGCAACGAGCGCAACCCCUAUUGUUAGUUGCCAGCAUUUCGGAUGGGGACUCUAGCGAAACUGCCUCUGCAAAGAGGGAGGAAGGUGGGGAUGACGUCAAAUCAUC